UGCAUUAGAAAAAGGAUCCACCCCUUUCUGUCCAAAGGAAGAAAAAAACGGAUUCCUCUGCAAUCAUCAUCUUCUACCAUCAGCUUCACCCUCAUGAAUUUUCCUUAACUCAUCAUCUCCUAACACACAUCUCCACCCUACGUUUUUUUUAACCAACACAAACACUACUACCCGUUUCUUCCAACACCUUUCAAUUUAUUCCCAUCAAUCCUCCAUAACACCGAAACACAACCAAACAGAAAAGGACCAUCAAUUUCCAACCUCCACCGAAAAUCAAACCAAACCAUCUAAAUUUCAUUCCACUGCAAAACCUGAUUUCGAAAUCAUAUGAAGGCUAACUCAGAGGUCCAAAAUUUAUGUGUGAGUAGUCAAAUGAAAGCCCUUUGAGUCUAGAAUCUAACCCAAAAAGUUUCAUUGCAUUUAGAGUACUGUGGAAAAAGAUAUGAGUCAAACAUCAAGCCAAGCUCAGUGCCAUAAACGAAAUUCCAAAACCUGAUUUCGAGUUUAAACUGCAGCUAGUCCAGAGAUCCAAAAAUUAUGUGUGAGUGGUCCAAUGAAAGCCCUUUGAGUCUAGAAUCUAACCCAAAAAGUCUCAUUGCAUUUGGAGAGGUAUGGAAAGAGUUAUUGAUGAAACAUUCAACGGAGGUCAGUGGAAAAGAAAGGUUGAAGCUAUGAGGAUGAAAGUUUUCAAGGCAAUUCUUGUGCACCUCGGAUUUCACUAUCUGAACCACAAUUUACAUUAGGAAAAAGUCUUUUUAACAACUCUUUUUUGAUAACUUUUUGACAACGCAUACGUGGCAAUCUAUGAUUGGUCCGUUUCAAAUAUUUUUUUAAAGAUAAAUUCAAACAGACCAAUAAAAUGAUGACACGUGUCCUGUUGUAAAAAAGUUGUUAAAAAAGAGUUGUCAAAGUAUCAUUGUUUACAUUAAUUGGAGUGGACCUUUGGUAUUUUCUGUUUUUACCUAUUUUUAUUUUAUUUUAUUUUAUUUUGAUUUUAUUGUUAUUCUUUUUUAGUUUAUACUCCCACAAUUGUUAACCCCACACC
rnacentral:lncRNA from 1 species